UUUUCCAAAAACAUAUUUAAUAGACUUAAUUAUUAAUUUAUCCUGCUCAAUGAUAUUUAAAUAGCCGCAGUUCAUACUGUGCUAAGGUAGCAUAAUCAUUUGUCUUUUAAUUAAAGACUAGAAUGAAAGGAGAUACAUUUAAAUUAUUUUAAUAUUUUUAUAUUUUAAACUUAUUUUAAAUGUAAAAAAACAUUUAUAAAUUAGAAAGACAAAAAGACCCUAUUGAACUUAACUUUAGUUUAACUGGGGCAGUUAAUUAAUUAAUAUUUUAAUAUUUAAUAUUCAAAUGACCUGAUCUAAUCAAUUAAAUAAUCAAGUUACCAUAGGGAUAACAGCGCAAUAAAUUUUAUUAGCUCUUAUAUAAAAAUAAGAUUACGACCUCGAUGUUGAAUUAAUUUUUCUAAUAAAUGCAACCAUUUAAAUAGAAAGUCUGUUCGACUUUUAAAUAAUUACAUGAUCUGAG
rnacentral:rRNA from 1 species